rnacentral:rRNA from 1 species
UUUAAUUGAAGAGUUUGAUCAUGGCUCAGAUUGAACGCUGGCGGCAGGCCUAACACAUGCAAGUCGAGCGGUAACAUUUCUAGCUUGCUAGAAGAUGACGAGCGGCGGACGGGUGAGUAAUGCUUGGGAACAUGCCUUGAGGUGGGGGACAACAGUUGGAAACGACUGCUAAUACCGCAUAAUGUCUACGGACCAAAGGGGGCUUCGGCUCUCGCCUUUAGAUUGGCCCAAGUGGGAUUAGCUAGUUGGUGAGGUAAUGGCUCACCAAGGCGACGAUCCCUAGCUGGUUUGAGAGGAUGAUCAGCCACACUGGGACUGAGACACGGCCCAGACUCCUACGGGAGGCAGCAGUGGGGAAUAUUGCACAAUGGGCGCAAGCCUGAUGCAGCCAUGCCGCGUGUGUGAAGAAGGCCUUCGGGUUGUAAAGCACUUUCAGUCAGGAGGAAAG